GGUUCAUUCAAAUUUCUGCCUAUCAACUUUCGAUGGCAGGUCUUGGCCUGCCAUGGUUACAACGGGUAACGGAGGGUUAGGGCUCGACCCCGGAGAAGGAGCCUGAGAAACGGUAACUACAUCCAAGGAAGGCAGAGGGCGCAAAUUUACCCAAUCCCGACCGGGGAGGUAGUGACAAUAAAUACUGAUACAGGGCUCUUUUGGGUCUUGUAAUUGGAAUGAGUAAAUUUUAAAUCCCUUAACGAGGAACAAUUGGAGGGCAAGUCUGGUGCCAGCAGCCGCGGUAAUCCCAGCUCCAAUAGCGUAUAUUAAAGUUGUUGCCAGUAAAAAGCUCGUAGUUG
rnacentral:rRNA from 1 species